rnacentral:rRNA from 1 species
AUGAAUCACGUGCUCAAGAGAGGGUUUGUCAAGGGGAACCAGAACCUACACAAGAUUGCUAGGCGGGUAAAUGCUUGCAUGCAAACUCGGAUGGAGAAGGAGAACGAGCAAACAAUGACCAACAUGAGCAAUCCUGUGACAAAAACAACUUACGGCUAUGAGGAAGACAUGUCUAUCAAGUACACAAGAGCCGUGUACAGCGAGAUGAGGACUAUGAUGAGAAAAGCCACACUAUUUCGCGCAAAGCCUACAGCAGAGCCCACUAAGUACCUUGUGUACUACCACAACAAGGUUGGCCAUGAUGAUGAAGAAAGAGUUUCCUGGUCAAAGCAUGAAUUCCAGGUUGUAGCUGACCCAGAGAAUGAAAUAUAUGAGUGCGAAUGCAAGCUUUGGACACACACAGGUCUAUUCUGCCUUGACAUCAUGAACAUACUAGGCUAUCUGAAGCCUGACAAAUUUCCAGGCAAGUAUAUCCUCAAACGAUACACAAAGACUGCAAAAUUACAACCAACAUUUGAUACAAGGGACUACAACACAACUGCAUUGGAUGGCUGCUCAAGACUAUCCAAGCAAGACAUCUUGGUGAAGCUAAAUUUUAUGGUUAACAAGAAAUCAAUGAGAUGUGACCAGCAAUAUGACAGAGCCUUCUAUGUUCUCAAGAGGCUUGUGGAAGAACUUGAUGCAAUACAUUCAGCAAAUCAAGAGGAUGCUGACGAAAGGAUGGCUGAAGAGGAUGCUGAAAUCGAAGAUGACCUUCAUUAUUAUGAAGCUGAAAUGCACCAGACCGCUGCUCAAACCAACCAAUGCAAGCAGGAUGUUGACCAAUUAAUGUAG